rnacentral:piRNA from 1 species
UCUGCCUGAACUACACUGAGAAUGCAUGAUG